UCCGAGUUGACCCCGGCAGUAUCCCAUGAGUUCCCACCAUUACGUGCUGGCAACAUAGGACGAGGGUUGCGCUCGUUGCGGGACUUAACCCAACAUCUCACGACACGAGCUGACGACAACCAUGCACCACCUGUAUACCGACCUUGCGGGGCCUGCAUCUCUGCAGCUUUCCGGUAUAUGUCAAGCCUUGGUAAGGUUCUUCGCGUUGCAUCGAAUUAAUCCGCAUGCUCCGCCGCUUGUGCGGGCCCCCGUCAAUUCCUUUGAGUUUUAGCCUUGCGGCCGUACUCCCCAGGCGGGGCGCUUAAUGCGUUAGCUGCGACACGGAAACCGUGGAAUGGUCCCCACAUCUAGCGCCCAACGUUUACGGCGUGGACUAC
rnacentral:misc_RNA from 1 species